rnacentral:rRNA from 1 species
GUGAGGGACGAAAGCUGGGGGAGCGAUCGGGAUUAGAUACCCCGGUAGUCCCAGCCGUAAACGAUGCGGGCUUGGCGUCGGAGCGGCUACGAGCCGUUCCGGUGCAGAAGGGAAACCAUUAAGCCCGCCGCCUGGGGAGUACGGCCGCAAGGCUGAAACUUAAAGGAAUGGAGGGUGAUCUGGGUAGGGGGUGUAUGCAGGGACUACGUGGUGAUGUUUGCUAUGCUAUCGGCGCUCUCCGAGAUGGAAGCAUAGAGAUACGCGUGGGCAAGAACUAUGAAAUAAGAUAUAAUCAACGUUGUUACCACUGGCUUGUUGAGCUACAGCGAAUAUUCUAUGAGCACUAUGGUGUGCGUGGUUCUAUACGACCUUGGAUUCGCGGAACGUAUAUGCUGCGGAUAAAUGAUAAGAAUACAACACUAGAAUUCGCGGACCUUUGUGAAUAUAAAACACCACAAAGAGAAUGGACUACCCCAUCAAUAAUUAAACAACAGACGUUGGGACAACAAUUAUGUUAUGUUCAGGGUUUUUGGGAUGCUGAGGGGGGACUUCCUCAUAAUCCUUCACAGAGCUCUCAAUUUUAUCUAUCAUUUGACCAAGAGAAUUAUGAAGCGCUAAACUUCAUUCGUUCUGUAUUAUUGAAACUUAACUUUAAUCCCACCAACAUAACACGAACUGGGAAAUGUUGGCAGUUCCGACUCACUCGAAAAGAAGAAAUUAUCAGAUAUGCACGGGAGAUAUCCACCCGGCAUCCUGAUAAGCAAUCCCGCAUGCGCUCCCUAACCCAGCUUCUCCUCCCCUGAAUUGGCGGGGGAGCACCACAAGGGGUGGACGUUGCGGCUUAAUUGGAGUCAACGCCGGAAACCUUACCGGGGGCGACAGCAGGAUGAUGGCCAGGUUAAAGGCCUUGCCGGACGAGCUGAGAGGAGGUGCAUGGCCGUCGCCAGUGCGUGCCGUGAGGUGUCCUGUUAAUUCAGGCAACGGACGAGACCCGCGCCUCCAGUUGCGACCGGGCCGAAAGGCGCCGAGCACUCUGGAGGGACUGCCCCGGAAACGGGGAGGAAGGAGCGGGCUACGGCAGGUCAGUAUGCCCCGAAUCCCCCGGGCCGCACGCGACGUUCAAUGGUGGGGACAGUGGGCUGCGACCCCGAAAGGGGAAGCCAAUCCCUAAACCCCACCUCAGUAGGGAUCGAGGGUUGCAACUCGCCCUCGUGAACGCGGAAUCCCUAGUAACCGCCCGUUACCACCGGGCGGUGAAUACGUCCCCGCUCCUUGCACACACUGCCCGUCGCUGCACCCGAGCUGGAACUGGGCGAGGGCCCGUCUUGUUGGCGGGUUCGAGCCCGGUUCUGGUGAGGGGGCAGAAGUCGUAACAAGGUGGCCGCACGGGAACGUGUGGCCGGAUCACCUCCU